rnacentral:lncRNA from 12 species
AUCCAAGUGCAACCUUUAAAGUAGUUAUUUAACAAGUUGCAUGCAUGUCUUCAGGGGCAUUCAGGUUCCCAUCUUUGCACUGUUUUCACUAGAGAGGAAACAGAAGUAAGGGAUUUAAGGUUGCUAGGACAGGCAGCAGCAGUGAGAGCAAGGAGAACCAGGCUGCAUACAAGCAGCAAACUUCUGUGAGAAGCAGCAGUGAGGGCUGCUGCAGGAAGAGCAUUGCCAAGGAAGAACAGCAACUACCUCCUUACUGCUCCAGCACCAAGGACGACCACUUAUUAAAAGAUUUUCCAGCCAGCCAGCAACAGCCUUUGGAAAACUGGGUUUAGUUUUGUUUAUAGCCACGUGUAGCCUUGUGGCCAAUUCCAGCCCAGCAAACUCUCAGCAGUGAAAACCCAGG